UACGUAGGGGGCAAGCGUUGUCCGGAAUCAUUGGGCGUAAAGAGCGCGUAGGCGGUCCGGUAAGUCCGCUCUGAAAGUCCGGGGCUCAACCCCGGGAGGCGGGCGGAUACUGUCGGGCUAGAGUCCGGAAGAGGCGAGUGGAAUUCCUGGUGUAGCGGUGAAAUGCGCAGAUAUCAUGAGGAAGACCAGUGGCGAAGGCGGGUCUCUGGACAGUUCCUGACACUGAGACACGAAGGCCAGGGGAGCAAACGGG
rnacentral:rRNA from 1 species